UGGUUAUGGCCAUUGAUUGGAAUCCUCAUUCAAGCAAUUCUUAUUGUUCUUAUUUUGCUCAUCUCUUAUUGGUGUAAAUCAGGCGCUGUCAAAAAGAAGCCUGUAAAGCAAACAGACUUGAGCUACACGUUCACUGACGACGGAGGCAAAGGACACGUACGACUGCGUUACAGUGGCGCAAGAACAGGAUAACUUAGACAUGACAGUCCUAGUCUCCGACGCAGCCUACCCUUCCUUAGGUAGACCAAAAAAAUAGUGUAGGCUGCAAAGGAGACUAUUGUAGUUCAUUCGAAUGCAGACAAUGCAUGUUUAUCAGCGCUGCCGUUCCGUAGAGUAGUUCUGUCAUAUUGUAUAAUAUUCACUCCUUAUAUCUAGGCAAUUUUUACACCAGAUUCGGUAAUGUAUGUAAUGCAUCACUUAUGACAUACACUGUACAUAUAUCACGCGAAGAAUCGACGGAUGCCAUUUUUCACGUGAUACUUCCUGUGAUGAUAUCUCAUGUGAUGAUUGGCACCCUGUAGAGUUUUCGUACCUGAUUUUUUAUUCCUCCGCAA